GGUAAAAUAACACUUCAAACAAU
rnacentral:snRNA from 1 species